AGUGAAUAGAUACCCGGGUAGUCCCAGCCGUAAACGAUGCUCGCUAGGUGUCAGGCAUGGCGCGACCGUGUCUGGUGCCGCAGGGAAGCCGUGAAGCGAGCCACCUGGGAAGUACGGCCGCAAGGCUGAAACUUAAAGGAAUUGGCGGGGAGCACAACAACGGGUGGAGCCUGCGGUUUAAUUGGACUCAACGCCGGACAACUCACCGGGGGUCGGACAGCAAUAUGUAGGCCAGGCUGAAGACCUUGCCUGAAUCGCUGAGAGGAGGUGCAUGGCCGUCGCCAGUUCGUACUGUGAAGCAUCCUGUUAAGUCAGGCAACGAGCGAGACCCGUGCCCACUGUUACCAGCAUGUCCUCCGGGACGAUGGGUACUCUGUGGGGUACCGCCGAUGUUAAACUCGGAGGAAGGUGCGGGCCACGGUAGGUCAGUAUG
rnacentral:rRNA from 1 species